CACGCAAGGGCUGCUGCGUGCAAAACAUGAAUGCAUUCAGUAGCUGCACAAAGUAUAUAGCAGAAAACUGCCAGACCAGCCAGUCAGCUCUUCACUUGUUGCAGCUCUAACUCUGCUGUGAUAUGCAGUCAUCUGGGAUGGUCUUCAUCUGUCCAUGUUUAGACAUCUAAAUUUUCUACAGCCUAGAGGCACACAUUGGGACUGACCACCUGACCACCUAGUCAACAGCAAGAAAACAGUAUUAUUGAAGUACAGUAACUCUUAAAGGGGCAUGCCUGAGGAGCUGAUAAUUCUCCAGAGCUGUGAGAUGAUGCACCUCAAGGCCCAGCAUCCUUCAGGGAAAGGCUUCCCUGCUGCUGACUUCAGCAGGAACUGGUGCCAUGGUCAUCCCACCCAGGCUGGUUUUGCCAUGGGAACAGAGCAUUUCUCUAUUGUGAUUAUCUUUAUCUUCAUCAUUAUCUGUUCAGGCUUAUUAAGUUUAUAUGGGAUUGUGAUUUUCCAUUAAGCCUUAUCUGUCUGCUUGGAGAGGUAAAAAUAUUUUUUUUCCCAUGGCAAGGGCUGCUUAAUUUUGACAAUAAGUUAUCUGUUCUUACUGUUCCCUAGGUAUUUCAUUGACAGUUACAGUGGCCCUUUCAAAACAGAGGCUUAGGCAUAGCACUUUAGAAGUAUUAAUCUUUCUCUCUGCAGUUCAACUGAAUGACACUCAAAAAUGUAACUAAACUCAAUGUAACUAAAAUGUAACUAAACUCGGAGCCAGGGGAAAUGUCCAAUUGACAUUGGACACUUUUGUCCAAUAAAGUGUCACAAAAUACCUUUGUUUGGAAAUUUCUGAUGCUGACAUUUCUACCUACUUAUAUAAGCUAGAUGACACUGCUACAAAACAGAUAAAGCAUCUGUCUUGGAUAUUUAUAAAAAUGCCACUUUUAGAAUUGUAUGAUUGUUUAUUUAUUUUUGUAUGCAGAAAGACUGGAUGUGAACCACUAUCUGGGCUGUCCCAAGCCUGCAGGUGUUGUGUAGUGACCAAAGGAUAUUUUCAGUCUCUGCUGCUGAGCAUGGUGUUGUUGAGGAUAGCUUUGCUGAAGGAGGCUCAAAAAACCCUAUCUCCUGGUCUCCUGGCAUGAGUUCACUCUGUGGCCUUGUGUCAAUGGCAGGACUGUACUUGUGAACCUCAAAUGUGCACAGCAGCAUAGACAUGAUGCCAACUUCACAGCCACUUACCCACUUCUCUCUCCAUGCAUUACUUCCAAUAUAGAACAGAAAAUAUACUACUGCUAGCUAAGAAUCAGCUAGGGCUAUGCUGGAGAGGUUUGAUAGAGCCAGGUAAAAUCAUAGCCAGCUUUU